GACGAACGCUGGCGGCGUGCUUAACACAUGCAAGUCGAACGGUGAAGCGCCUUCCUUUUGGUGGGUGUGGAUGAGUGGCGAACGGGUGAGUAACACGUGAGUAACCUGCCCCCUUCUUCUGGAUAACCGCAUGAAAGUGUGGCUAAUACGGGAUAUUCUGUGCCUGCUGCAUGGUGGGUGUGGGAAAGAUUGCGCCCUUUUUGGGUGUUUUUGGUGGGGGAUGGGCUCGCGGCCUAUCAGCUUGUUGGUGGGGUGAUGGCCUACCAAGGCGGUGACGGGUAGCCGGCCUGAGAGGGUGGACGGUCACACUGGGACUGAGACACGGCCCAGACUCCUACGGGAGGCAGCAGUGGGGAAUAUUGCACAAUGGGCGCAAGCCUGAUGCAGCGACGCCGCGUGAGGGAUGGAGGCCUUCGGGUUGUGAACCUCUUUCGCCAGUGAAGCAGGCCUGCUCCUUGGUGGGUGGGUUGACGGUAGCUGGAUAAGAAGCGCGGCU
rnacentral:rRNA from 1 species